ensembl:lncRNA
CAGGCUCUCUGGAGGUGUCACCGGCACAGGCUCUUGCCUCUGCAGAUUGCCUAAUGGAGCGGCUCAGAGGCUCAGCCCUCGUCUCCUCCCUCUGGGACCAGCAUCCUCUCCUCAUGGGGAUGAAAGAUGGGCAAAAUCGCAUGCAAAAUCAGGUCCACGUCCUGUUUCAAGUGCUCUCUGAAGACCCAUUAUAUUAAUUUCAUGAACCUCCCCCACGUACUAAGUCAGAUGUCGGAAUGUUUAGGUCGCUGGCCCGAGAGAAUUCAUCCAAGGUGACAGGGCAGAAACUGAGGGAUGAUCCAGGUGGUGCGGCUGGAAGCAAGGGGAAACAUCUCAGUAAUUCCAGAGUGCAGCUCUGAAGAGGAAGGUCAACGUACAACAGGACUCAUCAACCCCUCCCAGACCUCGCAACAGCGCCUGGCAUGGAAGAAGUCCUGAACAAGCGUUUGUUGAUUGAAUAACAAUUUACUGAUUGAACGACUGAAUAAACACCCUCCCACAUGCC